UCCCCACCGUGUUCAGGGACAACCCUGUGAUCAUGGUUUUGGUCACAUAGCUUCCAAGUGAGUGUUGUGCAAACAUUUGCUAGGAUCUCUCGGGGAGCCUGUUAGAAAAGAAACUCCUGAGCCUGCUCCAGAGCUUCUGUUCAGCAGGCCUGAGGUGGGACCAUACACCUGUCUUUUCAGCAAGCCCCCCCCCACCUCUGAGGAUGCACCCCAAAGCUAGAGAAUUCCUGCUCUGAGCCAUCUCUGAAAGCACCAAGAGCCAGCUCACGGAGGAGAUGCCAGCUCACGGAGGAAAAUCUGGAAGGUGUUGAAGCAUAGACGCUGGAACAUAAAAUGACUCAUGAUCUCACUGGGAGAAGGGCUGGGAACAUCGUGGGCUCUCUUCUCCCCGCGCUCCUCUCUCCGGGUCUCUGUUUCCCUCAUUCCACGAUGUUUAGAACCAUCGGCGCACUACAUCAGACUAGAGGUCUGGGGUCACCCGACCAUCCCGCCACAAGCCCCUCCGAGGCAUCACUGUGUCCAGAUUUUGCAAACUGCACCUCCUGAAGGGGCUGGGGUCUGUCCACUUCGCCCCAUCUGCCGUGGCAGCACUUCCUCCGUGGUUCGCACCCCCACAGCAGCCUCCUGGGAAGGCACCUCCCUGGGGCCCCUCUCAGUCCACGGUGUGGAUAUGGUGAGUUCUUAAACCAUGAACUUCUGAUUUCACAGCUCUGCUUGAAGCCUUCAAUGUCAGGCUUCCUGUUGCUCUUAAGAUAAUGAUCAAAACUCUCAACAAAGUUCCCCUGAUAAAUGCUCUCAACGUGCCCCCCACCACAGCAUCCCUAACUGUAAUGAAUACAUCAUUGGUCCUCACGGCAGCGGAUUAAUCGUCUGUGAGUGUUGGUUUAAUCUUUCUCUUCUGGAGUUUAGCUGUCACUGCCAUAUCCCCAGCACGGAGCACAAUGACAUGUUUAUAUGUAGAAAAUUGAGCGAAAAAUAAAAACAGCUAACAUUUGGGUACUUAUUAUCUUCCAGGCAGCAAGCUAUGCAUUUUGCAUAUAUUAGCAAAUCCAUGAGGCAGGUGCUGUCUUCAUUGUACAGGUGAGGAGCCUGAAGCUCAGAGAGGUGAAGGAACAUCCUCAAGGCCACGCUCUGAAAUCAACAAAAGAUACAUCAGUUUAUUGUGGGAAACAUCAGAACAUGCAGAGAUAUUAACAAAGAGAAGUCACUCAGAGAUGACUGUCAUUAACAUUUUGGUGUAUUUCUUCGUAGACAUUUUCCUAUGUCUCUGCAUAGUAACAUACUGUCCAGAGUGCUUGUAAUCUGCUAGACGGUUUGAUGAGACCAAGUUUUCAUGGUAUUAGCCACGGCAAUAUUUGUAUUCAUAUUUUAGGGUAUGGCUGAACUGAAAUUUGCUUUUGCUCAACUCAGCCCCUCUUGUGAACAUUAGGCACUUUGCACUUCACCUGCUGAAAACGUGGUAGUCAUAAACACGCUGGUAGCUCAAUCGUCCCACCUAUCUUUACUAUGUUAUUCAUUCCUAGCAGUGGGGCCUGGGUCAAAAGUUCUGCAGGGUUUUAAGGCUUUGGAUCAGUGGUUCGGGAUUGUCCUCUGGGACGGGCUGAGAAGCACACAUGCCUGCCGGUGGUGACAAGCAUUCCUUCCUAGUGCAGAGUCAGGUCUGCACCUGGCACCCCCUACCCAUCCAGGUUGGGUCCCUGGCAUUCAGUUAUGUGGAACAGACCAGAAAAAUUAAAAAAGAACCCCCUCCCGCAUCUUCCCCGAAGGACCACUGGCCUGCUGUCUCUCCCCGCACUCCCCCACUGGAGUUCAUACCCACUGAAUCACGACCCCCUUGUGGCUAAGCCCUGGUGCGCCACCCUGCAAAAUCAAAGGUGGUGUCUAGGCACAGAAAUGGCUCCGUGACCUAUGUCCCCUUUGUUCUAAUCUAGAAUCCAGCCAGGAGUAUGCGUGUCAGAAGCCAGGGGUGAUUGUGUUUUUUCUCCUUCCUCUUUCUUUAGGUCAGGAAGAUUCCUGCAGCUGCUGAGUUAGUACUUUUAAGAAAGUACUGGAUUCCCUCUCACAAUGGGACUUUGAUUUUUUUAAGAAAAAGGUUUCAUAAGUUUUCAAAUAACCUGGAGCAGUUGAGCAAACUUAAUGUGCAGCGUGGUCCCUGCUGGCUGGGUUUGAGGGGCUGGGUCUCUCUGAGUGGAUGCUGGUGAGGUGCAGAGGAAGAAGAAAAGGUGCCUGAGGGCCUGUGUGGAAGGCCUGUCACACAGCACAUCCUGGGAAAUCUGUCCAGGAAGCAGCCAGGCGGGCAUCAGCCAGGCGGGCAUCAGCAUCUUCACUGUGCAGAUGAGAAACUGAGGCCGCAGAGGUGAAGGGACAUGCCCAGGAUCACUAAGGCAAGACGGGGGAAGAGCAGAGAUCUUGGGCAUGAUCUCGGCUCACUGCAACCUCCACCUCCCAGGUUCAAGGGAUUCUCCUGCUUCAGCCU
rnacentral:lncRNA from 1 species